CAGAAAGCCAAACCGGUCAUGGGAGGCUAGUUAACGACUGUGCACCACGCUUGUGAGUUCUGUUUUUCUGGCGGAACGUAUAGCGAUAUAACAUUUUACGCGGACGCCGCGGGAGUAGCACGACGGCCAGCCGGUAUUUAUAAAAAAGAUGGGAGCGUACUUGUCGGAGCCGAUUACGAAGAAGGAGUCGAGCGACGAAGUGGGAAAGGAUGUCGCGUACGGCGCGAGCUCCAUGCAGGGCUGGCGGAUCAGUCAGGAGGAUGCUCAUAACUGUUGCAUAGAUUUUGAUGAGAAUGUCUCGUUGUUCGCCGUCUACGACGGUCAUGGUGGACACGAGGUUGCGACGUACUGCGCGCGCAAUCUCCCUGAUUUUAUCAAACAGACAGAAGCUUAUAAAAAGGACGACAUUAGGCAAGCUUUAAUAGAUGCUUUCCUCGGUUUCGACGACACCCUUACAAAACCAGAGGUAGUCAGUGUACUCAAAGAGCUCGCGGGGACGUCCACGUCAGAGAAAAAGGAGGGCGACCUGAACGAAUCUGAUGAGGAAGAGAAUGUUAGUAAUCUGUGUAUGGAGGCGACAAUGCCGUUGGAGCAAGUAAUGGCAAAGUAUCAGUCAGAGGUGUCGAAUCCUCAUCUAAAAAACCUGAAGGGCGAGAAGUGUGGUAAACGCGCAUUCGCAAGUCCGUUUCUGCGAGGUCGGAGAGGACGGGAGAAAGCGAGCGGCUCGUCAACAGGCGCUGGAUGCUCAUCGUCGCCGUCGCCAUCGCCGCCACCGACACCGACACUGUCCUCAUUGUCGUCGUCGUCCUCGUCCUCAUCCGCGUCCGACUGGAAUACAAACGAGACAGACGUGAGUAGUUCCAGUCAGCCGUGCGGAUCGGCUCUGUCCAGCACAGUGGAGCGAAAGGAUUCCGACAGCCCGGGAAACAACGAAGCUGAGCAAGUGCUGGAUUCGACGACGAGCAACGGCAGCGCUCAUGCGUCUCCACCGGUUGUAUCCAGCAAGGAAGGAGAAACUGCUAAGUCUAUGGAUAUGCCCGAUAGCUCCGAGGACGUGAAGGAGAAAGUCUCGAGUCCCGGCAAGGCGCCACCAUGCGCGGAGUCCAAUGCGAACGAGGUGGAAGUUAAUGGCGCGGAAUCGAAGAGGAUCGGAGAUGCAGACAGCAGUAAGGGCGGAGGGGACAACGUAUCGAGCAGUUCUUGUACCCCUGUGGAAAACGGAGACGCGGACCAGCAAGAACGGAUAACCAGCAGUGGUCGAAGAAGAACUCAGCCUGUCGAUCUUUAUCAAAGUCUACUGAAAAAGGACAGCGAUUCUGAAGAAGAUGACGACGAUGACGAAAAUGAUGAAACAUUCGAUGGUAUACCCGAAAGUGACGGAGAUACGGAAGAUAUUGACGAGGAUGAAAGUGAAGAAGAUGAUGACGAAGUUGAGGAGGAAGAUAUAGAUUCUGAUGAUGAUACUGAUGAUCUCAUGGUGAACUCUGAAAAGCCUGGUUCGGACAGUGGCUGCACAGCAGUUGUAGCCGUGCUGAAGGGAAAUGAAUUGUACGUCGCCAAUGCUGGAGACUCUCGGUGUGUCCUAUGCAGGGAUGGCCAAGCGAUCGAACUUAGUCUGGACCAUAAACCCGAAGACGCACCGGAAAUGGAACGUAUUGUAAAAGCAGGCGGAGAGGUGAUGAACGACGGCAGAGUGAAUGGCGGCCUCAAUCUUUCCAGAGCGCUCGGCGAUCACGCGUAUAAGCAAAACACGGGACUACCACCCGAGAAACAAAUGAUCUCCGCCCUGCCAGACAUAAGGCAUGUUACAAUCGAUCCGGAGAAAGACGAAUUUAUGGUGCUGGCUUGCGAUGGUAUAUGGAACUUCAUGACCAGUCAAAACGUCGUUCAGUUUGUGCGCACCCGUUUGUCACAAAAUUACGAGAACAUUUCGAAAAUCUGCGAGGAGCUCUUCGAUCAUUGUCUUGCACCAGACACUCUCGGCGAUGGAACGGGCUGCGACAACAUGACUGCCGUAAUAGUUAAGUUUCAAUCGCCGGCAUCUGUUAAAAAUAACACCGUUGCGGAGGUAUGCGUUACGAAGAAGCGAUCGGUCUCGCCAACCGCUGAAGAAAAUAACGACUGUAUCCCGGGAGAAAACACGGUAAACCCCUGCAAACGCGCCAAGACCGAGGCAGCUAUGUGAAUUAGGAGUCACCGCGCGUCAUGAACUGAUCUCCGGGAGCGGACGAAUGAAUAUAUCUACUCGUGCCUACGUGUACAUCAAGCUCCUUCACCCCGAUAUCUACCCAACAUGAACACGAGCGAACUGAAAGAGUGCGCGUGUUUUAGCAUGGCGACUGUCUCUGUAGAACUUUGGUCUAAUGAGAAAAUAACGCGAUCUGGAUUUAUAAACUAAUAUUAUUAAUCUGAUUGUGGCGUCAACCGCCAACACUCGUCGCAACAAUUUUUCGAGGUUUACGUUACGUUGACAUAUAUAGGCAAUACUUGAACAAAUAAAGACCUACUGUCAUAUUUUUUACAGUUAAGACUCUUACACGUUGCAUAAAGAUUUCUGUUUCGAUUUCGUAAUGCGAUAGCAAAAUCUUUAUGUUUCCAUUGUAGAGAUUCGCGAAGAAACAUUAAAAUUGUGUGAGGCAACCAUUGUAGAGAAUAGGAACAUGAAUCAACCCAGUGACAUCUUCGUGACAAUUGUGACAUUUUCCACCAAUAUAUAUAUAUAUUAUAUAUAUUCUUCUGUCGACACUCAUGUGUAAUCACAGCCGUUAGUAGACAGUAAUUUCAUCGACGAAAAUUGUUUAUAGUUAAUAAUACAAAAGCAAUCACGAUACUCUUAUGUGAACACCGUUUGCAAGAUGAUCAGUAGUGUAUGGAUACUAGAUGAGCGGUGUCUAGUAUUCAGAAAGAACUGACGUGCCUUUCCAAUUCAGGGGUUGACGACCUCCGCAACAUGUGUAUGUACAUUCGAUUCCGUCUCAACAAGAAAGGUUUGCGCCCCAUAUACUGUCUUUAGCUGCAAACUCCGUCAUACACUUAUGUAUAAUAUCUUGUUUCAUAAUACAUGUCGCUCGAAUCAAUCUUAAUGCUUGUUUC